rnacentral:rRNA from 1 species
CCCUAUGGGGUGCAGCAGGCUACCUCAUCAUUACUUUUACAAUCGCUUAUGUUCAUGCCUCCUCCUUUGAGUUAAGCCGCUCCAGGAGGUAGUCAAGAUUAAAAGGACGGCCAUCAAACUUUAAUACCGAACGCGACACGCGUAUCCCGGUUUCUCUCAUAAUAAGCCUGGCAAGCUGACCUGCGGCAUUAUUCUCAACCGUAAUGAUCUGCUGACCGCCUUUUAACAACUGGCCCAGUUCUUUUGAAGGAAAAGGCCAUACCUGCGGUAAAUGUACAUACCCAAAACCCUUACCUGAUGUCUCGGCAGCCUCUUUGAUCGCCCCGUACGUCGAGCCAAAACCGACGAGGAUCGUUUUGGCCCCGGCCACAUUAUAGGUAACGGGUUCUUCUAUUUCCCGGGGGGGC